rfam:Aedes albopictus isolate Foshan contig23733, whole genome shotgun sequence.
UAGCCUAGUGGUUAUGGUUAUGGAUCGCCAAUCCGGAAAUGACGGGUUCGAUUCCCGU